rfam:Pseudozyma flocculosa PF-1 unplaced genomic scaffold scaffold00001, whole genome shotgun sequence.
AUCUGCGGCCACAGGACCUCGAAAAUACCGCAUCCCGUCCGAUCUGCCACGGUCAAGUGGGGUGCCGCCUAGCCAGUACCGCGGUGGGGGACCACGCGGGAAUCCUAGGUGCUGCAGUUG